rnacentral:rRNA from 1 species
GACGAACCGUGCGAACGUUGUUCGGAAUCACUGGGCUUAAAGGGCGCGUAGGCGGGUGUGCAAGUCUGUGGUGAAAGCCUCCAGCUUAACUGGAGAAGUGCCAUGGAUACUGCACAUCUUGAGGAGGGUAGGGGCAUCUGGAACGGUCGGUGGAGCGGUGAAGUGCGCAGAUAUCAGGAAGAACACCCGUGGCUAAGGCGGCUCUCUAGUACGGUACUGACGCUGAGACGCGAAAGCGUGGGGAGCGAACAGG